rnacentral:rRNA from 1 species
AUUGAACGCUGGCGGCAUGCCUUACACAUGCAAGUCGAACGGCAGCACGGGGCAACCUGGUGGCGAGUGGCGAACGGGUGAGUAAUGCAUCGGAACGUGCCAUUGAGUGGGGGAUAACGUAGCGAAAGUUGCGCUAAUACCGCAUAUUCUGUGAGCAGGAAAGCAGGGGACCGCAAGGCCUUGCGCUCUUUGAGCGGCCGAUGUCAGAUUAGCUAGUUGGUGAGGUAACGGCUUACCAAGGCGACGAUCUGUAGCGGGUCUGAGAGGAUGAUCCGCCACACUGGAACUGAGACACGGUCCAGACUCCUACGGGAGGCAGCAGUGGGGAAUUUUGGGACAAUGGGCGCAAGCCUGAUCCAGCCAUGCCGCGUGAGUGAAGAAGGCCUUCGGGUUG